CGAGGGGAGCAAGCGUUGUUCGGAAUUAUUGGGCGUAAAGGGCGCGUAGGCGGUUUGGCAAGUUUCGUGUGAAAACUACGGGCUCAACCCGAAGCCUGCACGGAAAACUACCGGGCUUGAGUAUGGGAGAGGUGAGUGGAAUUUCCGGUGUAGCGGUGAAAUGCGUAGAGAUCGGAAGGAACACCUGUGGCGAAAGCGGCUCACUGGACCAUAACUGACGCUGAGGCGCGAAAGCUAGGGGAGCAAACAGG
rnacentral:rRNA from 1 species